UACGUAGGGUGCUAGCGUUAUCCGGAAUUACUGGGCGUAAAGGGCGCGCAGGCGGUCUUUCAAGUCGGUGGUAAAAGGCCACGGCUCAACCGUAUUAAGCCGCCGAAACUGGAAGACUUGAGUGCAGGAGAGGCAAGUGGAAUUCCCAGUGUAGCGGUGAAAUGCGUAGAGAUUGGGAAGAACACCAGUGGCGAAGGCGGCUCUCUGGAC
rnacentral:rRNA from 1 species